ACCUAGUUGAUCCUCCCAGUAUUCAUAUGAAUGUCUCAAAGAUUAAUUCAUGCACGUGUAAGAAUAACUAAAUUCAGACUAUUAAACUGGGAACCGGCGAUGCAUCAAUCAAAUUUUUGCCCUAUCAAAUUUUAAUGGUAGGGUGGUGGCCUACCAUGGUGGUGAUGGGUGACAGAGAAUUGAGGUUUGAUUUUUGAGAGGGAGACUGAGAAAUGGCUACCACAUCCAAGGAAGGCAGCAGGCACACAAAUUCCCCAAUCCUGACACGGGGAGGUAGUGAUAAUAAAUAACAAUACCGGGCCAAAUGAGUUUGGUAAUUGGAAUAAGUACAAUAUAAAUUGCUUAACGAGGAUCUAUUGGAGGGCAUGUCUAGUUCCAGCAUCCGUGGUAAUUCCAGCUCUAAUAACGUAUAUUUAAGAUGUUGUAGUUAAAAAGCUCGUAGUUGGACUUUGGGAUGGGCUGACCGAUCCGCCUAUGGUGUGCACCAGUCAUCUCGUCCCUUUUGUCGACGAUGUGCUCCUAGCCUUAACUGGAAAAUUCGUGCCUACGAAGCUGUUACUUUGAAGAAAUAAGAGUGCUCAAAGCAAGCCUACACUCUGUAUACAUUAGCAUGGGAUAACAUUAUAGGAUUUCAGUCCUAUUACGUUGGCCUUCAGGAUCGGAGUAAUGAUUAACAAGGACAAUUGGGAACAGUCGUGUUUCAUAGUUAGAGGUGAAAUUCUUGGAUUUAUUAAAGAUGAACAACUGCAAAGUCAUUUUCUAAGGAUGUUUUCAUUGUUCAAGAAUGAAAGUUGGGGGCUCUAAGACGAUCAGAUACCAUCCUAGUAUCAAUCAUAAACGAUACCGACCAGGGAUCGGCGGAUGUUGCUUUUAGGACUUCGCCGACACCUUAUGAGAAAUCAAAGUUUUUGGGUUUCGGGAGGAGUAUAGUCACAAGGAUGAAACUUAAUAGAAUUGACAGAAGGGAACCACCCUGAGUGAGCCUGCAUCUUAAUUUAAAUCAACACUGGGAAACUUACCAGGUCCAGAUAUAGUAAGUAUUGACGGACUGAGAGCUCUUUCUUGAUUCUAUGGGUGGUGGUGCAUGGUCGUUCUUAGUUGAAGGAGCGAAUGCCUAGUUAAUUCCGUUAACGAAUGAGACCUCAGCUAGCUAAUUGGCUAUGCGGAGUUAUCCCUUCGCGGCCAGCUUCUUAGAGGGACUACGACCUUUUAGGCCAUGGAAAUUUAAGGCAAUAAUAGUUCUGUGAUGCCCUUGGAUGUUCUAGGCCAUAUGCGCGCUAUACUGACAUAUUCAAUGAGUUUAUAGCCUUGGCUGACAAGCCCAGGUAAUCUUUGAAAUUUUAUCAUAAUGGGGAUAGAUCAUGGCAAUUAUUGGUCUUCAUUGAGGAAUCCAAGUAAGCGGGACUCAUCAACUCGCGUUGACUAUGUCUCUUCCCCUUACAAACACCGUCCAUCACUCCAACUGAUUGAAAAAUAUAGUAAAAUUUUUGCAUCGCAGUGACAUGGGUGGUUCUCUGCCCGUGACGUCGUGAGAAGUCCAUUGAAUAUUAUCAUUUAGAGAAGGAUAACUGACAAGGUUUCUGUCGGUGAACCUGCAGAAG
rnacentral:rRNA from 1 species